CCCGUCCGCUCAGCCGUACUUAAGCCACACGCCGGGAGGUUAGUAGUUGGGUGGGUGACCACCAGCGAAUCCCUCCUGUUGUAUGUU
rfam:Aspergillus flavus AF70 569, whole genome shotgun sequence.